ACCACGAUAGCUCAGUUAGUACAGCAUCUGCCGGGCAAGUGGGAUGUCGCCGGUCCGAUUCCGGCUCGUGGUG
rnacentral:tRNA from 1 species